GUCCACGCCCUAAACGAUGGGCACUAAGUGUGGGAGGUAUCGACCCCUCCCGUGCCGCACCUAACGGAGUAAGUGCCCCGCCUGGGGAGUACGGCCGCAAGGUUGAAACUCAAAGGAAUUGACGGGGUCCCGCACAAGCGGUGGAGCAUGUGGUUUAAUUCGACGCAACGCGAAGAACCUUACCCAGGCUUGACAUGUAGGUAGUAGGAACCUGAAAGGGAGACGACCCCGCAAGGGGAGCCUGCACAGGUGCUGCAUUGCUGUCGU
rnacentral:rRNA from 1 species